GAUGAACGCUGGCGGCGUGCUUAACACAUGCAAGUCGAACGGGAAUUAUUUUAUUGAAACUUCGGUCGAUUUAAUUUAAUUCUAGUGGCGGACGGGGGAGUAACGCGUGGUUAACCUGCCUUAUACAGGGGGAUAACAGUCAGAAAUGGCUGCUAAUACCGCAUCAGCGCACAGAGCUGCAUGACUCAGUGUGGAAAACUCCGGUGGUAUAAGAUGGACCCGCGUUGGAUUAGCUUGUUGGCAGGGUAACGGCCUACCAAGGCGACGAUCCACAGCCGGCCUGAGAGGGUGAACGGCCACAUUGGGACUGAGACACGGCCCAGACUCCUACGGGAGGCAGCAGUGGCGAAUAUUGCACAAUGGGGGAAACCCUGAUGCAGCGACGCCGCGUGAAGGAAGAAGUAUCUCGGUAUGUAAACUUCUAUCAGCAGGGAAGAUAGUGACGGUACCUGACUAAGAAGCCCCGGCUAACUACGUG
rnacentral:rRNA from 1 species